UUAAGCGACUAAGCGUACACGGUGGAUGCCCUGGCAGUCAGAGGCGAUGAAGGACGUGCUAAUCUGCGAUAAGCGUCGGUGAGGUGAUAUGAACCGUUAUAACCGGCGAUUUCCGAAUGGGGAAACCCAGUGUGAUUCGUCACACUAUCAUUAACUGAAUCCAUAGGUUAAUGAGGCGAACCGGGGGAACUGAAACAUCUAAGUACCCCGAGGAAAAGAAAUCAACCGAGAUUCCCCCAGUAGCGGCGAGCGAACGGGGAGGAGCCCAGAGCCUGAAUCAGUGUGUGUGUUAGUGGAAGCGUCUGGAAAGGCGCGCGAUACAGGGUGACAGCCCCGUACACAAAAAUGCACAUGCUGUGAGCUCGAUGAGUAGGGCGGGACACGUGGUAUCCUGUCUGAAUAUGGGGGGACCAUCCUCCAAGGCUAAAUACUCCUGACUGACCGAUAGUGAACCAGUACCGUGAGGGAAAGGCGAAAAGAACCCCGGCGAGGGGAGUGAAAAAGAACCUGAAACCGUGUACGUACAAGCAGUGGGAGCCUCUUAAUGGGGUGACUGCGUACCUUUUGUAUAAUGGGUCAGCGACUUAUAUUCUGUAGCAAGGUUAACCGAAUAGGGGAGCCGAAGGGAAACCGAGUCUUAACUGGGCGUUAAGUUGCAGGGUAUAGACCCGAAACCCGGUGAUCUAGCCAUGGGCAGGUUGAAGGUUGGGUAACACUAACUGGAGGACCGAACCGACUAAUGUUGAAAAAUUAGCGGAUGACUUGUGGCUGGGGGUGAAAGGCCAAUCAAACCGGGAGAUAGCUGGUUCUCCCCGAAAGCUAUUUAGGUAGCGCCUCGUGAAUUCAUCUCCGGGGGUAGAGCACUGUUUCGGCAAGGGGGUCAUCCCGACUUACCAACCCGAUGCAAACUGCGAAUACCGGAGAAUGUUAUCACGGGAGACACACGGCGGGUGCUAACGUCCGUCGUGAAGAGGGAAACAACCCAGACCGCCAGCUAAGGUCCCAAAGUCAUGGUUAAGUGGGAAACGAUGUGGGAAGGCCCAGACAGCCAGGAUGUUGGCUUAGAAGCAGCCAUCAUUUAAAGAAAGCGUAAUAGCUCACUGGUCGAGUCGGCCUGCGCGGAAGAUGUAACGGGGCUAAACCAUGCACCGAAGCUGCGGCAGCGACACUAUGUGUUGUUGGGUAGGGGAGCGUUCUGUAAGCCUGUGAAGGUGGCCUGUGAGGGUUGCUGGAGGUAUCAGAAGUGCGAAUGCUGACAUAAGUAACGAUAAAGCGGGUGAAAAGCCCGCUCGCCGGAAGACCAAGGGUUCCUGUCCAACGUUAAUCGGGGCAGGGUGAGUCGACCCCUAAGGCGAGGCCGAAAGGCGUAGUCGAUGGGAAACAGGUUAAUAUUCCUGUACUUGGUGUUACUGCGAAGGGGGGACGGAGAAGGCUAUGUUGGCCGGGCGACGGUUGUCCCGGUUUAAGCGUGUAGGCUGGUUUUCCAGGCAAAUCCGGAAAACCAAGGCUGAGGCGUGAUGACGAGGCACUACGGUGCUGAAGUGACAAAUGCCCUGCUUCCAGGAAAAGCCUCUAAGCAUCAGGUAACAUCAAAUCGUACCCCAAACCGACACAGGUGGUCAGGUAGAGAAUACCAAGGCGCUUGAGAGAACUCGGGUGAAGGAACUAGGCAAAAUGGUGCCGUAACUUCGGGAGAAGGCACGCUGAUAUGUAGGUGAAGCGACUUGCUCGUGGAGCUGAAAUCAGUCGAAGAUACCAGCUGGCUGCAACUGUUUAUUAAAAACACAGCACUGUGCAAACACGAAAGUGGACGUAUACGGUGUGACGCCUGCCCGGUGCCGGAAGGUUAAUUGAUGGGGUUAGCGGUAACGCGAAGCUCUUGAUCGAAGCCCCGGUAAACGGCGGCCGUAACUAUAACGGUCCUAAGGUAGCGAAAUUCCUUGUCGGGUAAGUUCCGACCUGCACGAAUGGCGUAAUGAUGGCCAGGCUGUCUCCACCCGAGACUCAGUGAAAUUGAACUCGCUGUGAAGAUGCAGUGUACCCGCGGCAAGACGGAAAGACCCCGUGAACCUUUACUAUAGCUUGACACUGAACAUUGAGCCUUGAUGUGUAGGAUAGGUGGGAGGCUUUGAAGUGUGGACGCCAGUCUGCAUGGAGCCGACCUUGAAAUACCACCCUUUAAUGUUUGAUGUUCUAACGUUGGCCCCUAAUCGGGGUUGCGGACAGUGUCUGGUGGGUAGUUUGACUGGGGCGGUCGCCUCCUAAAGAGUAACGGAGGAGCACGAAGGUUGGCUAAUCCUGGUCGGACAUCAGGAGGUUAGUGCAAUGGCAUAAGCCAGCUUGACUGCGAGCGUGACGGCGCGAGCAGGUGCGAAAGCAGGUCAUAGUGAUCCGGUGGUUCUGAAUGGAAGGGCCAUCGCUCAACGGAUAAAAGGUACUCCGGGGAUAACAGGCUGAUACCGCCCAAGAGUUCAUAUCGACGGCGGUGUUUGGCACCUCGAUGUCGGCUCAUCACAUCCUGGGGCUGAAGUAGGUCCCAAGGGUAUGGCUGUUCGCCAUUUAAAGUGGUACGCGAGCGCUGGAGAACUGAGGGGGGCUGCUCCUAGUACGAGAGGACCGGAGUGGACGCAUCACUGGUGUUCGGGUUGUCAUGCCAAUGGCACUGCCCGGUAGCUAAAUGCGGAAGAGAUAAGUGCUGAAAGCAUCUAAGCACGAAACUUGCCCCGAGAUGAGUUCUCCCUGAGACUUAGAGUCUCCUGAAGGAACGUUGAAGACGACGACGUUGAUAGGCCGGGUGUGUAAGCGCAGCGAUGCGUUGAGCUAACCGGUACUAAUGAACCGUGAGGCUUAACCUU
rnacentral:rRNA from 1 species